UGUCCAGACUCCUACGGGAGGCAGCAGUGGGGAAUAUUGCACAAUGGGGGAAACCCUGAUGCAGCGACGCCGCGUGAGCGAAGAAGUAUUUCGGUAUGUAAAGCUCUAUCAGCAGGGAAGAAAAUGACGGUACCUGACUAAGAAGCCCCGGCUAAAUACGUGCCAGCAGCCGCGGUAAUACGUAUGGGGCAAGCGUUAUCCGGAUUUACUGGGUGUAAAGGGAGUGCAGGCGGCUUGGCAAGUCUGAUGUGAAAGGCUGGGGCUCAACCCCAGGACUGCAUUGGAAACUGUUAGGCUGGAGUGUCGGAGAGGUAAGCGGAAUUCCUAGUGUAGCGGUGAAAUGCGUAGAUAUUAGGAGGAACACCAGUGGCGAAGGCGGCUUACUGGACGACAACUGACGCUGAGGCUCGAAAGCGUGGGGAGCAAACAGGAUUAGAUACCCCGGUA
rnacentral:rRNA from 1 species